AAUUGCCCUUCUAUGCACACACUGCCUUGUGCAUGUAAGAUUUUACUUACUCUUUUAAAACUUUUCCUGGGCCUUGCUGGCUGGACUCUCGGUGAGCUUGAUGUCCUAUCUAAGCAGAAAUGCCUAAGUUGCCCCAUGCCUCAUUGAGCUUCUGUUUGGACUGUUUUUCCAUGUGGUAUCUCUUCAGGAAGUAAUUCCUAUUUCUGCCCAUGGGAUUUCAGAGUGCUACAAUGCCUCUUUUGGGCUAGGGCUAUAUGUGUCCCGGCCAGGGCACUCUGAUGGGGCAUGGAAAAUGCUCAGCGAAUGGUCAGUGUGCCCAGAUGUAGGCGUGGGGUGAGAGGGCAGAUGAAUGUGACCCGGUGGGAGAGCAGACUGUGAGUAUGCAUUACCAGCAGUCCCCAGUCAGACCGACCACUCCCUGCCUUCUGGGCACUGGUUUAUCCCAGUCUCGAUCUCUCCAUGCUGGGGCAGCUACCUGGCAUCCUUUCCCCUGCAGAUGCUGCUCCACUCUGUACCCCCUUCAACUUGUCCAUAUAGGACAUAACCUGUCCUCUCCACCUGCAAGAGACGAAGCAGAGCUGCCCCCUUCUAGCUCCUGCAUUUCACUUCCCCAUUCUUCACCCUGCUGCAACGCCCGUGGCAGCAACUCAUCCCCUUUCCAGCUCUGAGCUGUGGCACACUGCAGCCUAGCAAGCCACAGUGCAUGUGUCUCAUCCUCCCCAUGCCAUCGUGUCCAAUCCCAUCCUAUUCCACCCCAUCCUAACUCAUUCCAUCCCAUUCCACCCCACCUCAUCCCACACCAACCCAUUCCAUCCUGUUCCACUCCAUCUCAUCCCAUUCCAUCUUAUCUUGUCCUGUCCCAUCCUCUCCGCCCUAUUCUCCCAUCCUGUCCCGCCCUGUCCAUCCCAUCCCAUCCUAUCUUGUCCUGUCCCGUUCCUUCCAGCCUUUCCCAUCCCACCACGGAGGUGGUGGGUUCUCCUGCCGGGACCUCCCCUCCCUCCCCGCAGCCUCGAGUCGCGCCAGUGAUGGGGAGAGCGUCACCGUCUCCUAGCAACGCGCCUAGCAACGCUCCUAGCAACCGGGCAACAUCUGCUCCCGCUGGACCAAUCCGUGCCGGGCACAUCUGGGCGCCCACCUCCGCGGGCUGCAGCCGGGCUGUGAUGCGCUCCUCAGUGGCUGCAGGGACCCGCAGAAGCUGCCACCAGUGCCACCACUUCCAGCGGCAGCCAGCAGCUCGGAGCGACCGGGGAAGGACGAAGGACGGGAGCAGCUCUCCCUCCACAGCCGGGGAUCGCCGGGUGACGUUCUGCGGGGCCGUGCUGCCAGCAAUGCUUGCUGAGCCCGUGCGAGGAGAUCUCACCGGGACUGCUGGCGUCAUCCCAGAGAGACCCUUUGCAGACUGACUCCACAUCCUCAGAGCUAUCCUGAUGCCUGUGCCUGAUGAACUAGGGAGAUCUGUAAAGCAACUAGAAGCCCCCAAAGAAGGCAGUUUUAAAGUGCAAAGCCACAGCUCCAGCCAGUAGGAAGGCUGCUACCUUCCCUCAGAGCUGAUCUGACUGGGGCCUACCAAAUCCAUUAACGACGUCGAAAGUAGCCUACUUUAAGAGAAAAUAUGCAGAAGAAGAACAUCUACAUCAAGAUUACCAUGAGUAUUGUCCAAAACACCUGAUACUCCCUGAGGACCGGACUUGUAUUCUAAAACUUUCUCUCCAGAAACUCCGAUUCCUGGAAGAUCCCGAAGCCUAUCUCCGUAGGUCGGUGUUAAUUAACAAUCUGUUGAGGAAGAUUCACCUAGAGACAGAGAGGGAGAGCUAUGAAUACUUUAAGGAGGCUCCGUGCUAUAGGACUGCUUACUCUGACUCACGAAAACGGCUGAAGUUUAUGGUACACGAGUGCUGUUCUCAGUCACUCUAUUAUGAAGAGCUGCAUUCGUAUCGCAUUGUGCCUUAUUCUGCAGAGAAUGCCGUUUAUGGGAUGGGCUACACAAGCAGCCACCUGGAGCAGAAUUCUCAAUUGCUUAUUUAUAAAAUGAAUUAAAGUAGCUGUUAGACCCAC